GACGAACGCUGGCGGCGUGCCUAACACAUGCAAGUCGAACGGAACUGUUUUGAAAGACUUCUUCGGAAUGAAUUUGAUUUAGUUUAGUGGCGGACGGGUGAGUAACGCGUGAGUAACCUGCCUUCAAGAGGGGAAUAACAUUCUGAAAAGAAUGCUAAUACCGCAUGACAUAUCGGAACCACAUGGUUUUGAUAUCAAAGAUUUUAUCGCUUGAAGAUGGACUCGCGUCCGAUUAGUUAGUUGGUGAGGUAACGGCUCACCAAGACCGCGAUCGGUAGCCGGACUGAGAGGUUGAACGGCCACAUUGGGACUGAGACACGGCCCAGACUCCUACGGGAGGGAGCAGUGGGGGAUAUUGCGCAAUGGGGGCAACCCUGACGCAGCAACGCCGCGUGAAGGAUGAAGGUUUUCGGAUUGUAAACUUCUUUUAUUAAGGACGAAAAAUGACGGUACUUAAUGAAUAAGCUCCGGCUAACUACGUG
rnacentral:rRNA from 1 species